AACGCGAAAGUCCCCUUCGGGGGGCAAGUAGAGUGGCGCACGGGUGAGUAACACGUAGGUAAUCUACCUUUGGAUUGGGAAUAACAACCGGAAACGGUUGCUAAUACCGAAUAAUGCAGCGGCACCUAGUGGUGACAGUUGUUAAAGCGGGGGAUCGCAAGACCUCGCGUCUGAAGAGGAGCCUGCGGCAGAUUAGCUAGUUGGUAAGGUAACGGCUUACCAAGGCUAUGAUCUGUAGCCGGCCUGAGAGGGCGGUCGGCCACACUGACACUGACAUACGGGUCUGACUCCUACGGGAGGCAGCAGUCGGGAAUUUUGGGCAAUGGGCGCAAGCCUGACCCAGCAACGCCGCGUGAAGGAUGAAAUCCUUCGGGAUGUAAACUUCGCAAGAACGGGAAGAAUAAGUAAGAGUUAAUAUCUCUUACGAUGACGGUACUGUUUGUAAGCUCCGGCUAACUCCGUGCCAGCAGCCGCGGUAAUACGGGGGGAGCAAGCGUUGUUCGGAUUUACUGGGCGUAAAGGGGCGCGUAGGCGGCCACCGCAAGUCGACUGUGAAAAUCUCCGGGCUUAACCCGGAAAGGUCAGCCGAUACUGCGGGGCUAGAGUGCAAAAGGGGCAACUGGAAUUCUCGGUGUAGCGGUGAAAUGCGUAAAUUUCGAGAGGAACACCUGCGGCGAAGGCGGGUUGCUGGGGCUGACACUGACGCUGAGGCGCGAAAGCUAGGGGAGCCGAACGGGAUUAGAUACCC
rnacentral:rRNA from 1 species